CCGUCGCUACUACCGAUUGAAUGGCUCAGUGAGGCCUUCGGACUGGCCCAGGGAGGUCGGCAACGACCACCCAGGGCCGGAAAGUUGGUCAAACUCGGUCAUUUAGAGGAAGUAAAAGUCGUAACAAGGUCUCCGUAGGUGAACCUGCGGAGGGAUCAUUA
rnacentral:rRNA from 1 species